rnacentral:rRNA from 1 species
CCUACGGGUGGCAGCAGUGAGGAAUAUUGGUCAAUGGGCGCGAGCCUGAACCAGCCAAGUAGCGUGAAGGAUGACUGCCCUACGGGUUGUAACCUUCUUUUAUAAAGGAAUAAAGUGAGGCACGUGUGCCUUUUUAUAUGUCCUUUAUGAAUAAGGAUCGGCUAACUCGGUGCCAGCAGCCGCGGUAAUACGGAGGAUCCGAGCGUUAUCCGGAUUUAUUGGGUUUAAAGGGAGCGUAGAUGGGUGGUUAAGUCAGUUGUGAACGUUCGCGGCUCAACCGGAAAAUUGCAAUUGAUACUGGCAGCCUUGAGUACAGUUGAGGUAGGCGGAAUUCGUGGUGUAGCGGUGAAAUGCUUAGAUAUCACGCAGAACUCCGAGUGCGAAGGCAGCUUACUAAACUGCCACUGACAUUGAUGCUCGAAAGUGUGGGUAUCAAACAGGAUUAGAUACCCGGGUAGUC